rnacentral:rRNA from 1 species
UACGGAGGGUGCAAGCAUUAAUCGGAAUUAUUGGGCGUAAAGGGCGCGUAGGCGGAUAUGUAAGUCAGAUGUGAAAUUCCGGGACUCAAUUUCGGAGCUGCAUUUGAAACUACAAAUCUCGAGGAUUGGCGGAGAGAACGGAAUUCCACGUGUAGCGGUGAAAUGCGUAGAUAUGUGGAAGAACACCGGUGGCGAAAGCGGUUCUCUAGCUUAUACCUGACGCUGAGGCGCGAGAGCAAGGGGAUCAAACAGG